AGUGAACGCUGGCGGUAGGCCUAACACAUGCAAGUCGAACGGCAGCACAGGAGAGCUUGCUCUCUGGGUGGCGAGUGGCGGACGGGUGAGGAAUACAUCGGAAUCUACCUUUUCGUGGGGGAUAACGUAGGGAAACUUACGCUAAUACCGCAUACGACCUACGGGUGAAAGUGGGGGACCGCAAGGCCUCACGCGAUUAGAUGAGCCGAUGUCCGAUUAGCUAGUUGGCGGGGUAAUGGCCCACCAAGGCGACGAUCGGUAGCUGGUCUGAGGGGAUGGUGAGCCACACUGGAACUGGGACACGGUCCAGACUCCUACGGGAGGCAGCAGUGGGGAAUAUUGGACAAUGGGCGCAAGCCUGAUCCAGCCAUACCGCGUGGGUGAAGAAGGCCUUCGGGUUGUAAAGCCCUUUUGUUGGGAAAGAAAUCCUGUCGAUUAAUACUCGGUGGGGAUGACGGUACCCAAAGAAUAAGCACCGGCUAACUUCGUGCCAGCCGCCGCCGUAAGAC
rnacentral:rRNA from 1 species